AACUCCACAUCCAGAGUAUAUGACAGCUGGGUAAGCCUUAGGAGACGAUCACAAUUUUUUUUCUGGCAGGGAGGGUUCUGGACGACACAGCCAUCGUAACCGCGGCCUCAGUAAGGGCCGCGUGUUUACUGUUCCCCUCUCGGUUCCAGCCGCGCCCCGCCCCCGGCGACCACCGCGCGCCGAGUCAAGUCAGACUGCGAAGGCAGGCUCGCUCGGCUCAAUUUUGAGACAGCGUCUGCCGGGCGCCCCGGCUGGAACAGCGAUGGUGAUCUGGGGGCGAGUUCGGCCUGCAGGCCAAUCCUAGGGGCCUCUCUCCUGGCAACGGUCACACUUGGGUCGAUAGCAGAGGUGCUUUCUGUGCGCUUCCCUUGCGUCACAGACAACAUUAACGCGUCGACGCAGACGUCGACAUUUCCUAAUUGUUUACGGCUUCCUCAUCUUUCUUCAUCUCUCGAGAGAUGCGGGGCUUCACGUCUGGCCGGCUUUCCUGCACGUGUGUCCGAGCAGCCACGGCGGCUGGUGGCACAGGAGUGUUGCACGAGCGCCAGCAGCUGCCCCGGCGCGGCCUUUGCCCCCUCACCGCGCUGCUCGGCACAGGGAGGGCCCUCCGCGUCUUGGCCCCCGGGGAUGUGUUUCCACGCCGCAGCCCCUCGUGCUUUAGGAACCACGGCCCAGCUUCGUGGCUCCGGGGACAGGAGCGCAACGUGCAAAACGAACAAAACAGAACAAAGAUAGGUUGGCUCUGCCGCGGGCUGGGGGGCCUCGCCUCAAGCAAGGCUGCGCUGGGGCUCAGAGGCUGCUAAGGGUUCCCUCCUUCCCGGCCUCGGCCUCGGCCUGCCUCGGCUCUCCUCCCCGAGAGCUGGCUCAAUUCUCACCUCCCGCAACGAGCUUCCUGUUGGUACAGGAAACCCAGCCCCCAGUAGCUCCGUAGCCAUGCUUGUAAUUCAUGAGAAAGGAGCUCUUUUAAGUGGUGUCUGGAGAGCCAGUCUCAUGGAAGGUUCCAGAUGGCCCAGGCAGAACCACGCGUCCACCGCCCUUGGAUCUCUGCCGAAGCCCGAGGUCGGCCAUCCGGCGAGGCCGGGCCUGGCAGCCCCUUGGGACAAAGCCGGGACCCCUGAGGACCCGGAGGAGGAGGGCCGAGCAGACAAGCGGGCAGACGCUCUGGAACACUGGGCUGCCAAGGCCCUCCUACUCGGUGGGUGUCUCUCUGAGGAGAGCAGAGGGCCUGGCAACUGCUGUCAAGUCGGCGCCACCCAUCCCUGUCCCUGUCCUCGGGCCCUGGGCCCUGCGGCCCCUCACUGUUGACGCCCACGUGGAGGGAGACCAGCCCAGCCCCACGGAGCAGCCUGUGUCUGGGCCACUUUCCCGUCACGGCCAGAGCUCAGCCCAUGUCUUCUACACGGAAAGCCUGAGGGCUUUCUGGAAAAGAGAGGAAGUGUGAAGGGAGUGUAGGUGUCAUAAAUAACAGCAGAGGUGCCAAUGGUUGGAAGCAACUGGUGCACCGGGAUGAAAAUUAUCGUUGAAAAGAAAGGGCCGAAAAUAAAGGUUGGCCGUGAAACACAAGGGCCCGUCCAGAAAUGGAACGUAGGGCUGACACGGGACUUGCGGGACGAAAAGCCGCGGGCCGUCCCCUAUCCUACAACCUGGCCAGUUCGCUGAAAGAGACUUUCAUACAAUGAAACUGGGUGACAGGGAUGUAUGGAUGUUCAUAAAACUAUUCUUUUUGCAUGUAUAUUUGGACAAUUUCAAUGGUUUUUACAAAAAGUUGUGGUAUUUUGAAUUCAGAAACAAGCCAGCUGUGCAUGAACUGUGAACUGUUCGUACCUGAAAAAAGGGAGUCGGAGUGGAUUUCUUACCAAAGGAGCAGCACUGACGCAGCCCCUGGAGGCCACGGUCUAAAGGAGAGCAUUUCUCGGGCUCUUAACACCUCUUUCAAAGAAGAAAGAAGGAGACAUUCAGACAUCGGUAAGUACGACCCUCUCUUUCCCUGGGGACAGAGGCAGCCUCAUUUGCAGCCUCUCGGUGAGUCAUCCCACGCCCUUGGGCUUCCAGGAUGCAAGUAAACGCAUGUUUAUUCUAGCCUGCGCACCCCUGUCUCUCUCCAGACGUCAUCAUACCUGCGUCACGCUGUCCCCAAACACUUGCUCCGAUGAGACUCUUCCCCAGGCGUGCUCCAUGUCACAUACGUUGAGAGAAAGGAUCGGGAAAAAGCCUUCUGAGGUCAAAAACUUUGAGGGGGCCUCCUAUGCUAACUCUCUUCUGGAAAGUGGUGAGGCUCGUGACGAAGACGCCGCGUGAGGGUGAUAAGACUCCUCCUCUUGGAGGGCGGCACGUACUCAUUCCAAAAACGUCCCGCACGACAUUCUUUGGUGAACACUGACAAAAGUGCAGCAAGUGACUGAAGUAGCAACUAGUCAAGACGGACCGCGCGUUCGCCAAAAAGACCACUUCCCAGCUGGGAGCACGUGACCAAAGCACAGACGGGGCUCAGGGCCGCAAUUCCAGACAGCCGCGCAGGAGGCUUCAGCAAAACAUCGUGGUCGCUACCAACUUACAUUCGGGAGAACCUGUCACCGAACAGAGCAGGGCUGCCUCACCGACACCCACCGGGCGGAGAAUCUCCGAAGAAUCACGCGCCCUGGCUCACGUGGCGCAGUCAUGCUGUCCGCACGGAGAGGAGACUGGCCUUCAGCAGACCUCCGUGGCUGGGGACCCCGCUCAGGCGGCCGGACAGAACGCCGCCGGCUGGGGGCUCGACCGCUGACUUCUCACGAUCCCAGAGGCCACGUCCAAGAUCAAGGUGUCAGUGAUCUGCCUUCCGGGGAGGGCUCUUGUCCUGGCUUUGCUGUGUCCUCAAGCCACCUUUCCUCUUUCCUCAGUGGCAAGGGCAGGCAGGAAGUGAGCUCGUUAACCUGAAUUACUUCCGCACAGGCCCCAUCUGUAUAUACCAGCCACACGGGGGGGGGUCAGGGCUUCAACAUAUGAACUUGGGGGACACAGUCCAUCGCAGCUAUGACUCAGGUAAGGUGGCCUCUGGGUUUUAAAAUUAGGUUAAAGCAGGAUUUGUACGUCAAGGAGACACUCUGCGGAGGUGCUGGAUGCUUAGUUCGGACACCCGCUGUGGCGGAGCGGCGAGAGUCCGACCGACCCGUCACAGAGAACGGGCUGUUCCCGAGCAGCUCUCCCGUCCCGUUCAGAACUACCAGGAUGUGAGCAUUAAGAGACAUCUGGAAAUGGAGACCAAGGUCUUUCUAAGACACGUGACCUAAGGCCCCAGGCUCGCCCGUCGGGACAGAUCCCACUGGGACCGACGUGUGGCUUCACGGCGCCGGUUCACCACCACGCAGGCUGCCCACCCGGGACCGGCUCUCCGGAUUUGUUUCGUUUCGCCCACAUCCCAUGAGCCUGUCCUGAAAGAAGGCAGAGAUCCUCUCGGUUUUCUCGACCCCCAGCAAUGGAGCCGCCUCGUCGCUCUGGCGUAGAAGACACGGGGACGCUCCAACAGCCUCCGUCUGCAAAGCAUCAGGAGCACAUUUUGAGAGCAGCAGCAGCUUUUGAAAAGCU